rnacentral:lncRNA from 1 species
UUUUUUUAUUUUUUGUUAAGUAACGAACGUUUCCUGUUUAGUUAGUUUUAGUGAACGUUUUCUUUCUGUAGAUCUGUUUAGCGAACGUUCGUUUGAUAGGAUUUUUCUUUUUAUUUUAGUUUUCGGCCAGGGACCUAUACGUGAUAAAUUUCUUCACAGAUUAGUCCUUGUACUUCAAACGACCACGUCUUUUUACUCGUUUAUCCAAAUUCAACGAAAUCAACGCUCACUUCUUCGUUAUGAUCUCCUCUAUCCAGUAAUCCAACUUAAACAUAUUUUUGAAAGUUUUAAAAUUUUAAUUCAAACAGUUUUGUAUUUGAGCUUCGUUUGAUCAUAACUUGAGUUUUAUAACUCCGGUUUAAUUGAUCCUUUUUGCAAAUUAAAGCUCUUGACCUAAACUUUCUGAUAAGGCCAAAUUCACCUAAUUUUGGUACUGAUAGAAAUUGUUUUAUGUUGCAAGAGUUAUUUGCUUGGUUUUGAUGUUUUCCGAACUGUCUUUUCGUUUUUCCGAUCUUUUGAGUGAUUGCUUAUGUGUGGUUACUAUUGCUUGCUUACGAUAGAUUGACCGGAGUGUGACGAGUAGAACUAUCAAGAGUGUUGAGUGUGAAUCAUCUUCAUCAACAGUACAGGCAAGUUCACACUUUGAUCAUAUCCCUUUCAUACCCAGUUUUUAUGCAUUAGUUUCACCCUCAAACAUUGCAUGAGUAGGAUUGAUAACAGGUGGGUAUUGGGAAGUAGUUGAUGAGGUAGGAACCUAUUGCCCUGCAUUCAAACCUUGGGAGUUACUUUUACGUUGCUUACAUUGCUAUGCUAUGCUUGUAGACGUGGUUUGGGUUUGAGUGUAUUCAUGACAGAUGUGAGUAUUCUUAAUUAAUGGUUAACUUAAGGUGGCAACUUUAAUACACAUCUGGGCGGAUUGAGGCACCUGGAGUAUCCAGUGAUUGCCUGUAUUUUUUGGAAAUCCCGGGGUACCGUGUGAUUCUCCAAUGGACUGCCACCCAGGCUCAAAGGGAUCAUAAGAUUAUUCAUACUAGAAACUUCCGUGUGCAGCCACAUGCCAUUAUGGGCUCUGGCAUAGUUGAGUAAGUUGUGGGAAACCUUUCCAUGAUGGGCUAGCAGAUGUAGGGAUUGUAGGUGUACAUGCCUAUCUAUCGGUUAAGGAGACCUCUUCGGAAAGAUUGUGUCUCGGUCAUCCGUUUCUCAAACAUUAUGUAGUGCGAGAAAUCCAACGGAGGAGAUCGAGUCUUGUGGGAAAAGUGCGCAAACCUCUACAGAGUGUACAAACUAAUCAUGAUUAGUCGUGUCCCCGGUUAUGGACAUAUUGAGUAUCUGGUUUUGGAUUAUCAUGUUGAUCUCAUCACUCUAUAUAAUUAAUUUGUUGGGUUGUUAAUUACCUUUAAUUGGGAUUGAGAUGGGGUUUACCAUUCUCAAUGUUUUCAACAAACUUUGUAGUUAAAUAAAAUAUAUUCCUUUGCAGUAGGGAAAAAUUGGCUUUUCGCAAAAACCUUAUAACCAUAGAGCUUUCCACCAGCCAAAUAUGCAUGUAGUGAUAGUUAUCAUUCAUAAUUAUCCUAUGGUGUGAAUUUGCCAGUACAUUCAAUGUACUGACCCUUUGUGGCUGCAACGUCUCAUGUUGCAGGAUUCUUACGACGAGUAAGUGAUACGUUAGGGUUACGAUUUCUACACUUAACUUUGCCGUUGGUGUUGAUGGGAAUCCACAACCUUGUUACUUCCACUAUUUGGAUUAAGGUAAUAGUAUUUACGUUAUUUUAUACAUGUGAUUUACCUCUGUUAUAAAUCCUCGAGUACUGUGUGUGUCAGCAUACCAAUCCAGGGAUGACACUUAAGCACAGAGACUUGACCGUCUAAGGUCGGGUCGCUUCAAGAUGGUAUCAGAGCACAUGUUGACUGUAGGACGUGACCCCUAGAAACUGGCAAGCCCAUAGGAAGGAUUUUCUCUAAAACUUUCUUUUUCAAAAAGAUCUUUUACCUCUCUUCUUUUCUGAGCUUUAUCAAAAUAUUCCCUUUUAGUUAGACUAUAUCCCUUUCCCCUUUUGACCACUCAAAGAUUCGACUGAUGAGACCAUUCCAAGAAGUACAAGAUAUCGGAGAACCAUGACCACUACGGAAUGAAGGAGAUUUUACCGUGCGUCUGAAUAAUGGAAACUACAACAGUUGAAGACUCCGAAGACUAGGAGAAUUUGGAGGCUAUGAAGAAUUUCCAGAUAUUGUAUGACCUAGUAAGGCUCCCUUGAUGGAACUUGGCAGACUAUAGAAGCUGUCAAUACCUGAGAUCAAGGUGUAUCGGAGAAAGACCGGAUCAUGGAGCUUUAGAACUCAAAGUUUUGUCAAGAAAACCCUAAUGCAGGAGAUAUCAACUAUGGAGUGAUAGCUCAUGGAAAUGACAAGAGCAGAAACACGGCAAUCCAUGAUGUUAUUGCCCACUUAUGCUAUUGUCACCGUGCUGAGUUAAGCAUGCAUAUGCAUGGAAGGAUUGGAUGGUAGAAGGCUGAUGGAGCACCUAUCAACAAAGGAUGCAGUUUUAACCUUAGCUGGUGUAUCGCCAGGAUCUGGAGUGUUACAUCAAGAAGUUAAGAUGGACCUACAAGAAGCAGUAUUUGAUAAGGAAGCAUUUCGUGAAGAACUCAGGACCCAGAAGCUGAAAGUAGCCAAGCUAGAGGAGCAAAACCUUGAGACAUCAAAGAUUCGUCAGGAGCUGAAGGACAGUAGGAUCAUGGUUCAUGUCGAGGUUGAUGAAACCCAGAAGUCUGGAACGCAACUCCAGAAAUAUUAAAGGACGUCACGAUAGACUUUGCGACAACAGAGAUGAUCUGGCAAAAGAACUUGAGAAGGUCAAGCACGAUCAGAAGAAGCCAUCGAAGACAUGAACAAGACUUGAAGAGUUUGGCGAUUUUGAAGAUUUAUUGACCUUUAGAAUACCAAACCCCUGUUAUAUACCUACAUUAGAUGCGACGUUUGUGAGCUGUCAUUUGUUUGUUGUUUUUCCGACAGCCACAAUAAAAAUCUGCCUUUUCAAAACUUUUCCUUGUAUUGUGUGUAUCCCUCUCUAUCUCUCUUAUCUCACCCCAAGACCCUUGGAUCCCAAAAGAUGACGAAUGGAGAUGGACGAGUAUUUCCGAGAUUCAUGACACAACCGGAGGUAGCACACCGGAUACGGAACAUGGAAGAUCGCAUGAAGGAGCACGGUAUUGAAGGAGAGUAUAUGGUUCCAUACACCCUACGAAAGAUCACACAAGGUGCUGCAAAAUGGCGAGAGAUACACCAAGCCAUACAAGGAUGGAAUGGAGCCAAUGCUUGGGAUGAAUUCAAGACGAUUCUACUGAGGUCCCGUCUUACCUGAAAGCCAUGUGAACCUAAAGAGAAGAAGCCUUGUGCAUGUAAGAUUUGUGGAGAAAUGGGACACACCCAUAAAGAACACAAGGAUGAAUGUCCAAAUUGUGAAGGAAGUCACCCAACUGAAGAAUGCCCAACUAGGCAGAUCACUUGUUUCUUGUGUGAAGGGACUACCCACUACCCUGCUCAGUGUCACAUUUACCCCAUAGUUCGAAAAACCAUCCAGCAGAAGAAAGAAACAAUGAAAGGAGCCCUCAUGGAAAUUUCAGAAGAACCUGGGAUGAAUGAAGAGGUGGAGGACACACCCAAAGAAGACCCAAUUAAACCCUGCACCAAGUCAUGCUAUUCAUGUGGAGAAGAAGGACACAUCUCCCAGAAUUGUAUGAAUGUGGACCUAGUAAAAUUCCCGACAGAGGAAGUAGAGUAUGACCCACAGGAAAUAUAAGCCCUGAUUGGAACGGAACAUUCCAGGAAGAGAAAUAGAUUGGAAUCCAGGAAGGACCUGAGUCAUAUCACCUGUUUUAGGUGCAAGGAUUCAGGGCACUACUGCAGCGAUUGCCUAAAAAGGAAGCCGAGAACCCAAAGAGGCUAUGUAAUCAUAAGGAAACCACGAGAUUUGUCAGAAGUAGUAUGUUUCUGUUGUAAUGAAGCAGGGCACUUUGCCAGGGAUUGUACCAAAGAGAAGGAGGCUUGGGCUAAAUAGCUGAGACUGUGAGAAAUAUAAUAGUAGUAGUGAGAAAAUUUUCCUUUAUAUUGAGGUGUUGAGUUGAGGCAUGUAAUGGAAAUGCAAGAGAUUGUAAUCAUUGGAAAAUCAAUAAAGUUAGCAUCGUUGGUACUGAUAUGGAUUUUAUGAGUGGUUACUCUAUGAAGAAAGAUUUUGACCAUUUUCGAGGAUAUGAGAAACAUGGCCUAUGGAUGAAUUUGUGCAUUUUAAGGGUGGUAGUACCCUGUGAGGAGAUUUGAUCCCUGGAAAGGAUAAUGAUGUUCCACGGAGUGGAUUCCAUAAGUAUAAGUUUUAUCCUGAUAUGUGGGAUACCCCAAGAAUAUGAAGGGAUGAAGUACUGUUGGAUAUAAAGGAGGUUCAAUGUUGGUAAUAUGAAGUACUAGUAACUCCAUGAUGAGCCUGAGUAAUCGCGUCUGAGUUGGUACCAAUAGAAGGAAGAAGGACAGUACAAUUGGAUGGAAUUAAGAAUGCUAGGAAGUUAGAUGUUGAGAUAAUGAUCAGUUGGCCCCGAUGAUGAGUUCAAGGUUUACAAGUGAUGAGAUGGGCCAUAAUCCACAAGCCCCAGGACCUGCCAAGAAGCAAGCACAUUCUUGCUGAAGGAAAAACCCUGGAAGAGGUUACGAUUUUAUCAAUAGACGAUCUUAUAGGAGUAAGGCAAAACCUGAGAGUCGUGAAGGGACGAUAGAUGUUUGUUUGGCUUGCAGAAUUAAUGGAUUUAUCCGAACUUGGUUCGUCGACAAGAGAAAUUCUGCAAUGCUGGUGAGGAUGACCAAGUGUUAUAAUGCGAGAUUCGCUAAGUCAUAUACAAGGUAAUGAUUUGGGUGCGGGAUGGAUUGAUCACCAUACCGACUUACUCUUAUUAUUCGCCUUGCUAUAUGGGAUGGUAAAUCUAAGUGACAUACCUAUAGUAGAGAGACGACGAUAUUAAACCUUGUUUAAACCUUAGAAUGGUAUAGCAAUUUUUCCCUUGUACAAGGCAGCUUUUGCCAACCGUAGGUUAUACGGUGAGGAUCAACUCAGACCCAUUUCCUGCAGGAGAAACCAUAAAUUGAUGACCACCAUGAGAUAUCGAUAGUUGAUUAGUAUUGGCGCCAGACCCGUCAGCUAAGAAGACCCAAUCUCGGAAUAACCUUACCAAGAUGAAAUGACAGAAGAAUUGUGGUAAAGGUUAUGCCACUACCGGAAGAACCCAGAGAAGGAAUUAUCCUGAAGAUCUGAGAAGACCGACACUGUCAACAAUAAGGAUGAAGUAUAUGAGUAUUGAUGAGACCGUAACGAUGGUUCUAAGGGUGAUAGCACCCCAGGCCCCCUGUGACGAUCGAUGGAUUUUGAGAAGACCCCCAAACCUAACCUAUUUCUUUCUAGCCUCUCCGAAUCUCGAGGACGAGAUUCAUUUUAAGGGUGGUAGGUUUGUAACAUCCCAAAAUUCUAAAUUUUGGAAUGUUAUACUAAAUAGAUAGAUUUGAUUGAUUUUUUGAUUGAUUGACUGAAAGUGUGUGAAAUUCGAAACUUUUUGAAAGUUAAAUGAGAGGGAAUAAAAGGACUUUCCCAAACUUUCAUUUUUGUUUUUAUGAUCUCCGUGCAUUCAAAUUCUUUUCAAAUACAAAACCCUAGAGAGAAGAUGACAUGACUUCUUCCAUUUAAAUAAAUGAAAAGGGUAUUUGAAAAUAUUUGAAUUUCAUUUGGAACUAUUUUUCAAAUUCAGAAACUUUAAGCAACUCAAUGAUUUUCAUAAGAGAAGAUAAUAUGACUUCUUCAAAAUAUAUGAAAUAUGAGUUGGAAGUUUUAAAAGAAUUAAAUUCAAAGUUAUUUUGAAAUUAUUUUCAAUUUGGAGUUAUUUGGAUUUUAUUCGAAAUAUUUUUAUCCAAAAAUAAAAUAUAUGGAAAUUAGGGUCAAAUGAUUUCCUACAUCAGAAAAUUGGAGAGAAAUAAAUUUGAAAUAAUUUUGGUAUUUCUAAAAUGAUUUUUUAUUGGAUUAUAGUAGAGCAGGAGCACUGUUUGAAUUAUUCAAAAUAGUGUGUAUUUUAUUUGACGUUAGUAAAAUAUUCAUGUUGUAGAAAAUAAUGUUCUGAAAAUUUUGAUUUAAAAUAUGCCUAGGUUCUAUUUUAUUUUAUUUCGCUUUUAUUCUAUUUUUGUUGUGUUUUAAAAAAACUCUUUCCUUCGCCGACUGGGCCGGCCCAGCUCCAACCGGGCCAGGCCGAUGCCCAGCCUCGCCGCACCGUCUCCCUCCCGAGCGGGAGUCCGUCGCCCGCAUGCCUCGCCGGCCGUCGCCGUGGCCAACCCGGCCACCUCCGCGCCGCCUUGCCCCCUCCGCCAAGUCUCCCUGCCCCUGGCCCCUUUAUAAGAUCUCCCUCUCCUCCUCGGAGUCGCUGCUGCCGCAUCUCGCCGCCCUCGCAUCUCGCCGCCGCACUUCCUCGNNNNNNNNNNNNNNNNNNNNNNNNNNNNNNNNNNNNNNNNNNNNNNNNNNNNNNNNNNNNNNNNNNNNNNNNNNNNNNNNNNNNNNNNNNNNNNNNNNNNNNNNNNNNNNNNNNNNNNNNNNNNNNNNNNNNNNNNNNNNNNNNNNNNNNNNNNNNNNNNNNNNNNNNNNNNNNNNNNNNNNNNNNNNNNNNNNNNNNNNNNNNNNNNNNNNNNNNNNNNNNNNNNNNNNNNNNNNNNNNNNNNNNNNNNNNNNNNNNNNNNNNNNNNNNNNNNNNNNNNNNNNNNNNNNNNNNNNNNNNNNNNNNNNNNNNNNNNNNNNNNNNNNNNNNNNNNNNNNNNNNNNNNNNNNNNNNNNNNNNNNNNNNNNNNNNNNNNNNNNNNNNNNNNNNNNNNNNCGCCGUCGCCGAGCUUGCCGCCGCCGGAGCUGCUGCCCACCGUCGCCGGAGAUCGCCGGAACCGCCGCCGCCCGAUCCGCCGCUCGACCCGCCGGUUUCUCCCGGUCCGGUAUAAAACCGUCCCCGGUUCACCGGUUUUCUUUUAGGUUUAGGUUUUUUUCGGUUUUGUUUAAAACCUGUUUUUUUUAUUUUUUGUUAAGCAACGAACGUUUUCUGUUUAGUUAGUUUUAGUGAACGUUUUCUUUCUGUAGAUCUGUUUAGCGAACGUUCGUUCGAUAGGAUUUUUCUUUUUAUUUUAGUUUUCGGCCAGGGACCUAUACGUGAUAAAUUUCUUCACAGAUUAGUCCCUGUACUUCAAACGACCACGUCUUUUUACCCAUUUAUCCAAAUUCAACGAACUCAACGCUCACUUCUUCGUUAUGAUCUCCUCUAUCCAGUAAUCCAACUUAAACAUAUUUUUGAAAGUUUUAAAAUUUUAAUUCAAACAGUUUUGUAUUUGAACUUCGUUUGAUCAUAACUUGAGUUUUAUAACUCCGGUUUAAUUGAUCCUUUUUGCAAAUUAAAGCUCUUGACCUAAACUUUCUGAUAAGGCCAAAUUCACCUAAUUUUGGUACUGUUAGAAAUUGUUUUAUGUUGCAAGAUUUAUUUGCUUGGUUUUGAUGUUUUCCGAAUUGUCUUUUCGUUCUUUCCGAUCUUUUGAGUGAUUGCUUAUGUGUGGUUACUAUUGCUUGCUUACGAUAGAUUGACCGGAGUGUGACGAGUAGAACUAUCAAGAGUGUUGAGUGCGAAUCAUCUUCAUCAACAGUACAGGCAAGUUCACACUUUGAUCAUAUCCCUUUCAUACCCAGUUCUUAUGCAUUAGUUUCACCCUCAAACAUUGCAUGAGUAGGAUUGAUAACAGGUGGGUAUUGGGAAGUAGUUGAUGAGGUAGGAACCUAUUGCCCUGCAUUCAAACCUUGGGAGUUACUUUUACGUUGCUUACAUUGCUAUGCUAUGCUCGUAGACGUGGUUUGGGUUUGAGUGUAUUCAUGACAGAUGUGAGUAUUCUUAAUUAAUGGUUAACUUAAGGUGGCAACUUUAAUACACAUCU